UACGGGGGGAGCAAGCGUUGUUCGGAUUUACUGGGCGUAAAGGGCGCGUAGGCGGCCUCUGCAAGUCGACUGUGAAAUCUCCGGGCUUAACCCGGAAAGGUCAGCCGAUACUGCAGGGCUAGAGUGCAGAAGGGGCAACUGGAAUUCUCGGUGUAGCGGUGAAAUGCGUAGAUAUCGAGAGGAACACCUGCGGCGAAGGCGGGUUGCUGGGCUGACACUGACGCUGAGGAGCGAAAGCGUGGGGAGCGAACAGG
rnacentral:rRNA from 1 species